rnacentral:rRNA from 1 species
AUUGAACGCUGGCGGCAUGCCUUACACAUGCAAGUCGAACGGUAACAGGUCUUCGGAUGCUGACGAGUGGCGAACGGGUGAGUAAUACAUCGGAACGUGCCUAGUAGUGGGGGAUAACUACUCGAAAGAGUGGCUAAUACCGCAUGAGAUCUACGGAUGAAAGCAGGGGAUCGCAAGACCUUGUGCUACUAGAGCGGCCGAUGGCAGAUUAGGUAGUUGGUGGGAUAAAAGCUUACCAAGCCGACGAUCUGUAGCUGGUCUGAGAGGACGAUCAGCCAACCUGGGACUGAGACACGGCCCAGACUCCUACGGGAGGCAGCAGUGGGGAAUUUUGGACAAUGGGCGCAAGCCUGAUCCAGCAAUGCCGCGUGCAGGAUGAAGGCCUUCGGGUUGUAAACUGCUUUUGUACGGAACGAAAAGCCCUGGGUUAAUACCCUGGGGUCAUGACGGUACCGUAAGAAUAAGCACCGGCUAACUACGUGCCAGCCGCCGCCGUAA